GGAAAGAGCACACACACACGUGCACAGUGGUUACAACUCCCUGUGAAAGAUGGACACCCCACACUGCACCGUUCAUCCAUUGUGCACCUCCGGUUCCUGCCUGCAGGAACAGCUCCAGUGGGAGGCGGCUCUGAACCAAACCCUGCUGCUUUGGUUUUGGUGAACCUGCUCUGAUUUGGGCUCACCGUCCCUGUUGCUCAUGAUCCUGCCUCAGCCAGUUUUUACCUUCUCUUUGGCUACUCUUGGUCACCACAAUUGAAUUCACACAGGUGAAGCCAUCCCGGUCAUCCCUGCCUGUUCCUGUGGAACAGCAUCUCCACUGGCUUCCCUGCCCUCCGUGCUUGGACACAAGACUCUAAAGGCACCUUCUUUACAGUUACGUCCUGCUUCUUCACCCUCCUAUUCAUUUUACAGCCUAUUUCACUCUUCUCACAAUUUUCCAUGAUGAGCUGAUGUGGGAAGAGCACUGUUCUUUUAGUAACCUUGCUCUCCUUAAAUUUCAUGUUUGUGAGUCUUUCCACCAUGACGCUGUAUCUGCAUUUUUGUCAUACACUGUAUGCUGCACACUGCCUUAUCUAUCCUAACGAAGUUCCUGGGGGCAGAGAACCACGUUUCAUCUCUGUACAGAGCUGUGAGACCCCAAUACCGUGCAGGCAGUAAGCUCAGCCCUCUUUUUCCUUCCAGUAUUUCAGUGCACUAGCACAGUGCACACACAACAUGUGAAUUUUGCUUUACCUCCGGGCCCUUGCAGGGAGGGAGCCCGUUCACCCUGAGGCACACGUUGAUGUGCAGGAUGAGUGUGUCUCUCCAGACAGACCCCAUGCUUCUGCAGCCACGGCCACCCCUUUCUCAGUUGUGUUGAUUUACUUUCACAAGGGCAACUUCCCACCAGCACAGCAUCCACAUGGUGGAAAACGCCAUGUGGUAUCAGAAGCAAGCAAGCAUAAAAAAUAACUGCUUUCACUUAUGUAUUAAUUUUAAAAUGGUUCUUUGCUCACAGCCUUACUGAGAAGGCCAACCAGGGCCAGCUUUGUCCAUUAUAAGUUAUUAGAGCUUCAAAAAUCAAUCUGAUGCACACAGCAAUCCAUUCUGCCCACAGUCAGGGAGCAAUUUCACCUCCUCCUCAUCCAAAUUUCCCCACACCAGCUAUUAAGUAAGUGCUUGAGCUUCCAAAAAGAUGAGAACAUUACUGGUCACAUGCCCACUGCUAGCAAGCACAGCUAUUGCCCCCACCAGAGGAGUUGUGGGUGCAGUGUUUCCUGUAAAAAUGAGAAGGGGAUGCCUCUGUUGUGCCAUCAGCUGGAGCGGAGGCAAUGGAAGAUGGUUCAGCUUCCCUUCACACAGAGCUCUGCACAAACAUGUUGUAGCAAUGUUGCUGUCACUUCCCAAACUGUCUCUGGUGAGGUAGGUCUCCCUGCUAAGUCUUCUGCAGGUUCAGUGGCAACAUCCUACUCCCUUCAGAGGGUGGCAGUCAGCAAUUAAGAUACUUGCCCCAUUUGGGGGAUUUUCAGUGAAUCAAGGAGUUCUGCUCUCACUUGUGUUAGACAAGGAGCACCAGCAUCCUGAGCUGGUGAUGCACUAGCACUUUAUACCAGCUUAAUGAAUUUUGAAGGAGCCUUUCUUAACAGAAAUGGUUUCAGCUGUGCGGCCUCCAGGAGUGGAGCAACUCAGCUGCGGGGUUGGCCCUGAAUUUUUGACCUCCCUGCUCCAUACCCUCCAAGCACCUGAUGGGCUGCAGCACAGGUGAAUGUCCUUGCAGCCGCGUUUCAAGCAUCGGAGGCCUGCCUGGUGCAGGUGACAAGCAGUAACUGAGGAGGCAUGGUAGGAAAUUGCACCUGCCCAGGCCUGCAGGGACUCCGUGCACAGUGACAGAGGAGGAGGAGGUGGGUCUUGGUGUGGAGUGGGGCAGCAAGCAGGAGGCUGCCAGCUGCCUUCGGCCUGAGGGUGAGGCAGCUAGCUGCUGAUGGCAUGGCUUCACUCACCUGGGAGAUUGCCACAUGCACGGGGAGCCAGGGGCAAAACAAGGUGCAGCUGAUAGGGGGCGGGAGAAACUCUGAUUGCAAGUUAGCAAAAAAUCUCCCGGCAGGUUUGGGCAGGUGUUGUUUCCUCUUUGAAGGGCUGCUGCUUUACCAGAGAGGAGUGGUGAGCAGCACUUUGCUUGUGGAAGGAGCCCUAUAUUUUCCAAGUCUUUUCCAUAAAAUGACGCUGUGCCACCACAGCUCUGUCUGCAGAAAUAUUUCAAAGCUAAAUGUUAAUGAGCAGAAGGCUCUGGUCUCUCAGCGAGGAAGUGCUGAUGUAUGAAUGGCAGGUCCAUUGGUAUUUGGUGUCCUCAAUAAAGACCUCAAUGACUAUGACUGCAGGCUGCCUGUCAACUGGCAGAUAACACCAAGAUGCGAGGAGUGGCUGGGAUAUGCUGGAAGGCAGGGCUGGAAUUCCAAGGGGUCCUCACGGACUGUAGCAGGGUCUUGACAAAAACAGGAUGUAACUGACAGGGGCAUGCGAAAGGUACUAAAGUUAGGCAGGAAACAAACAAAUGAACAAAUACCACUGAUAGAGAGCAGGAAUGUUUGGCUGAAAUAAUUCUGCAGAAGAUGAUCUGUGUUACAAGGUAGAUCACCAGAUAAAGUUAGCAAGGCUAUAUUGUUAAUGAAGAAAAAUGCAAACUAGCAUGUAUGACAAGAAAUUUGCAAUAAGUGUGAGUACUGUCUGAUUUUUGGAUACCAGUCUUGAAAGAAAAUGUGGAUAGAUGCCAGGAGGACCCUGACAAUAACAAGCAGAAUGGAGAACACAGACUGUAAGCCCUAAAGAAGACAGUGAGGGAAGGCAGGCUUACAAUGUUCACAUAUGUAAAAAAGAAAAAAAAAAACUGUCAUGCAAAGUAGGGCAUAACCAGAAUGCAAUCUGUUCUUGUACUCAGGAAACCAGAAGAGGGCUUAAAUUUCAUCAGGGAAGAAUCUUACUAGGAAGAACUUUCUAAUAGUGACAAGGCGGAAGCAUUGAUGUAGACUCUUUAGGGAAGUUGUGGAGGAUCCUAGCUUUGGAAGUGUGUAAGAACAGCCUGAAUAAAUGUUAGCUGGGAUAUACAUUAUCCAUACCCUUGUACCAUGCAGUGGUAUGGAUAGAAGACUCCUGAAUUCCUGUCCAGCUCUGCAGUCCCGUUACUGAUUGUGCUGUAACACCCAGGGCAUGAAUGGUCCUUGGUUCUCCCUGACAGCCACCAUUUACUGCAAAUUCCUGUCAGAAGGUCCUGUUGAAGGAUGUUGCUGUUCCCCCAGGCUAGACAUUUGAAUACAUAAGCACUUAAGUAACAGCAGGCAUGAAUGAUUUCUGCCUUUGCUGUGUUUAUGUUCUCAUAUCUCACUCUUUUCUAAUUUUCUAGAGUGCGGUUCUUUAGAAGUGUUCAUUAUUUCUAAAUGAUUCUUAAGCUACUUUAAGGCAAAUUAGUGGUGAUUUAUGCUUUUUUUGGUCACAAAUCCAGUGAUAUAAUACUGAAGUUUCCCUUCAAAGGGACAAACCUUUGGGAAGCAAAGAACUGCAGACAAUUUUUCAUCUGAUCAUCAUAGCUUCUGUUUUGAAAGAGUAUUUGACCUACUGGUUCCUGUAGUUCUUCAAAUUAAUACCAGAGUCUUACUGAAAAUUCUUAGCAAUGGUAAAAUUAAAGUAGUUAAAGCCUAGAUGUCAAGCAAACAAGAAGUGUUUUCUGAAGCUAGAAUCCAUCCUCAGCUGUGGAUCCGCAAAUCUUACUCAACUAAAAUACAGAGAUCUCCAUAUCUCACCUUCUGAUCUCCAUGCCUUUGAUUUUCCCAGCCAGAAGACGUAGGAGCGAAGUCCUAGCAAACCAUUGGUGGAACAAGAGCUCCAGUCAGCUUUUAAUGCCUAGAUCGUUUUGAUUCUGCAGUCUCCAUAAAUGCUUGCUCCUCCUGCAGCCGCAUUAGGAGAGCUGGGAAUCUGUUCCAUUUGUUUUUGCCAAGGCUGUUAUUGUUGAUCUGCCAGGUUAAAUCCCCUGGAGGUUUCCUCUGCUCUGACUUUGUAUUUAUCUAGUGGUCUUUGACCUGCCUUUAUCUUUUAGAAUCAGUACUCAACUGGCCCAGUCUGGUCCAGUCAAUGUGCCUUUAGAUGUCUGACCUUCAGAUCUGCUGUUCCAGUUGCUAUUUAUUCCACCGCCCCUUCCUUGCUGUUUGCUUUUGUCGUGCCUUUCACCUUGCAUUGCUUUACCCUCGCACUGCUGUGCCCUCUCCACAUCGGAUCUUUCCUUCUCUGGCCUUCUGUUGCUAUCAACACCCACCAGAGGAGGAAUCUGGUCUCUUGGGUCAUUUGCACGGGGGAAAAGUACAUGCAAGUGUCUCAGAGAUCAGCAAUAUGGGAUGCUAUGCAGUGAAAUUCAGGUCUUAGUGGAAAGGUGGCUUCUGUAACCCUGGCCAUGACCAGGAAGGUAUUUCUGUGAGUAGGGAGAAGCUUUGAAGGAAGUGCUGGAUCUCAAGCUGCUUCUCUGCUGAGGGGUGAAGCCUCUGCUCGGGGAGGCUCACCGAAUAAACAACUGACAGCGGGAGCGUGAAAUGCAGCUGGAGCAGCUUGGAGGCUCUCAGAUGAAGUCACUGACAGUUGUGCAUGCCACAAUUGCCUCCAGCCUGGCUUACUGCAGUGUGCUCAGUUCGGGAUGAAAGCUAGUGCUUCAUCCUGUGCCACGGCAGGGCCGGCUGACGUGGCUGCCUAACAUCUGUGCGCUGUGCCCUGCGGUGCUGAGCCACAGCUCGCCUCCCGGGACAUGUGGAAGAGCUGACAGCUGCAGAGUCCGCUAUGGGGCGGGGAGCCGGCUGAGGCCACCACCUCGCAUCCUCACACCAUGUAUAAUUGAUAGGGACUGAAAUGGUUUUUGUAUUUCAGCUAGGGAGAGCUCAGGAAAAAAAGAAGACUCUUCCUGGCAAGAAGGAGAGGCUGAACAGGGAGGAACAUUUCCUUCAUUACUAUAAUAACCCCAUCAGGUGUUUUAUCCAGGUCCCGCGUAGCCCAAAGCCCUUCCAUUUUAAUGAUGUUUUGAAACAGAAAGCAGCCUUUAUGGCCUCUGAGGGAGGGAUGGAGAGAACGAGAACGGGCAGAGGCAGAGGAUGCCAAAGUCACUGUUCUUUAACUAACUGAGGAGUGAGAGGUAUUAAUCAAAGCUCUCAAAACUUUAGCGCAUUUUUAAGGAAAAUAAGGAAGAGUGAUUUGUCAGCUACAGAGCCGAAUGAUCCUGGCUACGUCAGGCUGUGUCACCUGGCUGAGCUCCGAUUGCCAAUGCAAGCUGGGCUUAAGCUUUGCCCUUUUGUGUGGUUGGGCUUCUGGUGUCCUUGCCUCUUCCCUGCCCUCUGGUUAUACCGUAUGAACUUGGUACCUUUGAGACAUCUGCCUCUCCAUCAAAUCCAGCUAGUCAACAGGUUUGAAAGUUACCGAGAGUGGACUGACAGGCUGACUACAGGAAAACAUACUCGCUUAUGACUUGUUUCCUUUGGAAAUCAGGCUGAAAAUGAAUAAACUGAAGACCUGAGUAAUGAUUCAGUGUAUUAUUUGCUUGGGAAGGCCAGGGUUUGAAAUGUGCAGGAGCGUAAGCUGGUCCUCUAAGAUGCCUGCUCUUUAAUAAAAGUUGUGGCAAAGUGCUUCAGGUAAAGUUCUCAGAUCGUUCCCAACCCUUCCAUAAACCAGGUCAGUGCAAUGCACUGCUGGGUGGAAGAAUGAGGUAGGACUUUGUCUGAUUUUAAGUAUACGGAGGGGAACCUCUACCCCAGGUAAGGAGCUUGUUUUCAGACACCAGGAGCAUGAGAAUCAUUGUAAUGGAUCAGGCUAAUGAUACAGUUCCUUGUCUCGACUGUGCCUUUUCAAUUAAGCUAGAGGAUACGAAGAUAUACUAAGAAUUAUGUGAUGGCUAAAGAAUUUGUAGUGGGUUCUGCUGACACGCAUAUCAGCUAGAGACCACUAGAAGAAUACUGCAGGAAUUAAUUUCAGAAUUGAACUUGUCUAAUGCUUCUAUUAAUUGCCCUGAUGUAAAAGAAAGAGCGCCUACUUGCGCUGUGAAGUUGGAAGGUAUCCUCAAAAAGGGUAAGGAUGGCAAUGUCAUAUAAAAAGAGCUACAUCACCUGGUGGACAGCGUUAAAUUUAUUUGGGAUGGAAGUCAGUAAUGCAAAACUUACAAUCAUGCUCUUUGGGAUUUAAAGCAAGAAUUUCUGCUGGAAUUUGUGAGCUCAUGAGCUGGAAAUAGCCAAAGAGGAAAAGGAUCUGAAUAUGCUAGUUGGUCACAGGAUGACUGAGUCAUUUAUGUGACAUGGCCGUGGACAGGGAAAUUAAAAUCUGAGAAGUUUAUUCAUAAAUCCAAACCAGUUAGCAGUGGUUCUCAAGCAUGAAAAUGUAAUAUUUGCUUUACAGCUUCUAUCGUAUCUAAUAUAGCAGUGAAUGUGCUGAUUAGUUACGUGUCUAAGCCUUCUUUUCUAACCUUAUUAGGGUCUUUAACUCCAUGAUACCUUCCGGCA